rnacentral:ncRNA from 1 species
GUGUUGUAAGAAAGGAGAGCAGGUUAGCACUCCCCUUGACAAGGACGGAAGACACCCUACGGUGUUUAACACAUAAAUGGUUAAGGCAUUGCCGCCUACUUUGCGGCAUCUAACCACGUUUUUUU